GGAAGGGAAGUGAAACAGUUUGAAGGAGGUGAUGGGCAGGAUAAGAGGAGCAUCUGUAAUUUCACCUUUCUCCGCCUCCUUUUCUCAGAGCCCCUCUUCUUGGGCCUGCGAUUCCUCACCUGGAAGGGAGAAGAGUGGACUUCCUGCCUAGAGAACACCUUGGUAAACUCUUUGUGGUUCCUGUCAUGAGAAGGUGUGCAGCUUAGGGAAAAAGCCUGUGAGCUCUGGAAUCAGAUGGAACUGGAUAUGAAUUUCCAUUUAGCGCUUGUUGGAUUAAAUGUGAUGCUACUUCUCCCAGCCGAAAGAAUAAAACUGGUAAGAGGAAGGGAAAUGCAGCCUCAGUAAGGAGGCCUCCAUUCUGGAAGGGCUUCCCAGGCCCAGAGAAGGGAGAAAGUAAUUUGGAACCACCCAAGUAUUGGUGAUGCCAGGCCUCACCCUACCCUGGGGAUAUUUAAAUCUCAAAAAGGGAGCAUGGGAAUCUGACAAAGCACUUGCAUGUAUAAAGAACUCCUCCAAAUCAACAAGGCAAACACCUCAUUAGAUACAUAGGCAAAAACCUUAGAAGAGCCACAUCACAAAGGAGCACCUCCAAAUGGCCAAGAAGCAUAUGAAAAGAUGUUCAAUCUCAUUAGCUACCAGGGAAUUCAAAUUAGAACUACACCAGGAUGGCUGAAAGUGCAAAGACUGACAAUAUCAAGGGCUGGUGGGGAUGCAGAGCAACUGGAACUCUCCUAUGCACUGCGGAAGGGGUAAAUUAAUACCGCCCCUUUGGAAGAACAGUUUAGAAGCAUCACUAAAGCUGAACAUAUUCAUGCCUACUCCGGAAAUCCUGAGCCCAGGUAUAUAUCUAACAGAAGUUUGUUUAUAAAGGCACCAAAAGUCAAUUACACAAGAUACAAGAAUGUUCAUAGUAGAGCCGUUUGUAUUAGUCACAAACUGGAAACCACCCAAAUGCCCAUCAGUGUGGCUCCCUUUGAAGAACUGCCUUGGGGUUCAUGUUGCAGCAUCAAACAGGGAUGGAAGAUGCAUCUUGCUUUAGCAGCAGGAGCCUGGAAAGCAGCUGAAGCCCUGGAGGGUGCCUGGCACACAGAAUCUUGUGCUGAGCCUGGAGCACAAUGGGAGCGGGCUGGCAGGGUGGGUUCACAGCUGGACUGGGAGCAGCAGACAUACAGGCCGUAGGCACAGACAUAUAAAGACAGUCAUGCAGAUUGCAGGAUGCCUGAGAGCACAGACUCUCACAUGCACAAAUACGUGCGUGAUCGCCAGUGUGCAUCCAGACAGCCCCACAUGCAUGCACACGCAUGCACACAUGUGAUGUGUACAUAGAUGGACACAUGUCUAUGCCCACAAACACUGCAGAGACACACACAGAAGUGUCUGGCAAGGAACACUAUUUUGUCCUCAAUUUUCUGCCAGUGAGAGUCUACUGACUCCAUCUCUGAAAUGUCUCUACUUAUUGUCCC
rnacentral:lncRNA from 1 species